UACGGAGGGUGCAAGCGUUGCUCGGAAUUACUGGGCGUAAAGCGUACGCUGGCUGUUCGUUAAGUCGGGUGUGAAAUCCCGGGGCUCAACCCCGGAAUUGCGCCCGAAACUGACGAGCUUGAGUGCGGGAGAGGGAAGCGGAAUUCCUGGUGUAGAGGUGAAAUUCGUAGAUAUCAGGAGGAACACCAAUUGCGAAGGCAGCUCGCUGGGACGUUACUGACGCUGAGACGCGAAAGCGUGGGGAGCAAACAGG
rnacentral:rRNA from 1 species